rnacentral:tRNA from 1 species
GCCCCCAUCGUCUAGCGGCCUAGGACAUCGCCCUCUCACGGCGAAGACAGGGGUUCAAAUCCCCUUGGGGGUA